rnacentral:rRNA from 1 species
AGAGUUUGAUCCUGGCUCAGAACGAACGCUGGCGGCGUGCCUAACACAUGCAAGUCGAGCGCGAAUGGAGCAAUCCUAGUAGAGCGGCGCACGGGUGCGUAACACGUGGAUAAUCUGCCUGGGUGUCUGGGAUAACCAGUCGAGAGAUUGGCUAAUACCGGAUAAGCCCCCGGGAGCUUCGGCUCUUGAGGGAAAAGGUGGCCUCUGUAUACAAGCUAUCACAUCCAGAUGAGUCCGCGGCCCAUCAGCUAGUUGGCGGGGUAAUGGCCCACCAAGGCAACGACGGGUAGCUGGUCUGAGAGGACGAUCAGCCACACUGGAACUGAGACACGGUCCAGACUCCUACGGGAGGCAGCAGUGGGGAAUUUUGCGCAAUGGGCGAAAGCCUGACGCAGCAACGCCGCGUGUGUGAUGAAGGUCUUCGGAUUGUAAAGCACUUUCGACCGGGACGAAAACCCGUUGGCUAACAUCCAACGGCUUGACGGUACCGGGAGAAGAAGCACCGGCUAACUCUGUGCCAGCAGCCGCGGUAAUACAGAGGGUGCAAGCGUUGUUCGGAAUUAUUGGGCGUAAAGCGCGUGUAGGCGGCUUUGCAAGUCGGGUGUGAAAGCCCUCAGCUCAACUGAGGAAGUGCGCCCGAAACUGCAGAGCUUGAGUGCCGGAGAGGGUGGCGGAAUUCCCCAAGUAGAGGUGAAAUUCGUAGAUAUGGGGAGGAACACCGGUGGCGAAGGCGGCCACCUGGACGGUAACUGACGCUGAGACGCGAAAGCGUGGGUAGCAAACAGGAUUAGAUACCCUGGUAGUCCACGCCGUAAACGAUGAGAACUAGGUGUCGUGGGUGUUGACCCCCGCGGUGCCGUAGCUAACGCAUUAAGUUCUCCGCCUGGGAAGUACGGUCGCAAGACUAAAACUCAAAGGAAUUGACGG